rnacentral:rRNA from 1 species
CGCGUGCAGGAUGAAGGCUUCGGGUUGUAGACUGCUUUUGUACGGAACGAAACGGUGAGCUCUAAUAAAGCUUGCUAAUGACGGUACCGUAAGAAUAAGCACCGGCUAACUACGUGCCAGCAGCCGCGGUAAUACGUAGGGUGCGAGCGUUAAUCGGAAUUACUGGGCGUAAAGCGUGCGCAGGCGGUUUUGUAAGACAAAUGUGAAAACCCCGGGCUCAACCUGGGAACUGCAUAUGUGACUGCAAGGCUAGAGUACGGCAGAGGGGGAUGGAAUUCCGCGUGUAGCAGUGAAAUGCGUAGAUAUGCGGAGGAACACCGAUGGCGAAGGCAAUCCCCUGGGCCUGUACUGACGCUCAUGCACGAAAGCGUGGGGAGCAAACAGGAUUAGAUCCCUGGUAGUCCACGCCCUAAACGAUGUCA